UACAGAGGGGGCCAGCGUUGUCCGGAUUUAUUGGGCGUAAAGAGCUCGUAGGCGGCUCGUCGCGUCAGCUGUGAAAACCCGCGGCUUAACUGUGGGCUUGCAGCUGAUACGGGCGGGCUAGAGUUCGGUAGGGGAGACUGGAAUUCCUGGUGUAGCGGUGAAAUGCGCAGAUAUCAGGAGGAACACCGGUGGCGAAGGCGGGUCUCUGGGCCGAUACUGACGCUGAGGAGCGAAAGCGUGGGGAGCGAACAGG
rnacentral:rRNA from 1 species